UACGUAGGUGACAAGCGUUGUCCGGAUUUACUGGGCGUAAAGAGCGCGCAGGCGGUCGUUCAAGUCGAGUGUGAAAGCCCCCGGCUCAACUGGGGAGGGUCAUUCGAUACUGAUCGACUCGAAGGCAGGAGAGGGAAGUGGAAUUCCCGGUGUAGUGGUGAAAUGCGUAGAUAUCGGGAGGAACACCAGUGGCGAAGGCGAGCAACUGGAUCUCUUCUGACGCUGAGGCGCGAAAGCUAGGGGAGCAAACGGG
rnacentral:rRNA from 1 species